GUGGGGAAUAUUGGGCAAUGGGCGAAAGCCUGACCCAGCAACGCCGCGUGAGGGAAGAAGGUUUUCGGAUUGUAAACCUCUGUCCUUGGGGACGAAGAAAGUGACGGUACCCAGGGAGGAAGCCCCGGCUAACUACGUGCCAGCAGCCGCGGUAAUACGUAGGGGGCGAGCGUUGUUCGGAAUGACUGGGCGUAAAGGGCGCGUAGGCGGCCGAUUAAGUCUGGAGUGAAAGUCCUGUUUUUAAGGCGGGAAUUGCUUUGGAGACUGGUUGGCUUGAGUGCGGAAGAGGUAAGUGGAAUUCCCAGGGUAGCGGUGAAAUGCGUAGAGAUUGGGAGGAACACCAGUGGCGAAGGCGACUUACUGGGCCGUAACUGACGCUGAAGCGCGAAAGCGUGGGGAGCGAACAGGAUUAGAAACCCGGGUAGUCC
rnacentral:rRNA from 1 species